rnacentral:ncRNA from 2 species
UACACUCGCAGCCGUUUUGGUGCUCGCGUGCGGAUUCCUGCGCACGCAGUUGAACGGGAAACAGGGCAUCGGGCCGCGCCGCGGCCGCGAUCAACCUGUGCUGCCCCCGCAACGGUAAGCGAAUGCAUCGCUCAGGCGAUGCGAGGCCCGCUUCACCGCGCGUGCGAGCCACGCGCGGCCAGGCCACUGGAUGCCGCCGGCGUCCGGGAAGGCGAAGCGGUGCGAUCGCCAGCCCGGAUACCGGCCAGAACGGUGGAACCGCC